CCCCCUCUGCACACACAUGCACGCACACACACACACACACACGCUCAUGUACGUACACACACUCAGACACGCAAUCACCCCCCCCUCCGCACACGCACGCACGCACGCACGCACGCACGCACGCACGCACGCACGCACACACACACACACACACACACACACACACACACACACACACACACACACACACACACACACACACACACACACACACACACACACACACACACACACACACACUCAUUGGCACUACUUAUACUUACUGUUAUACUUGUGAGUGAAAAGAGAGGGAGGGGGACAAGAAAGUCCUUAUGCCGCAACUGUGUAGAGAAGCAGGAAGGAUUCAGGGCAAACAACAGCAAAACAUCAACAGCUGAGCUGACUAUCUCACAUUCCUUUCCUUUUCUGUGUAAUCUCCAACUAGGACUGGACAAUGACCGCAUGCGGGGGAAAAAACACUUCCCAUAUUCUGAAAAGUGCGCAAGGCUGCAUAUGAAAAUACAAAACAGUACUCAUCGCAUUACAGUUGCAGUACUCUGUCCCAAACUUUGUGAUGGAUUACUAUGAAAAAAAAACGGAAAAUUAAUGAAACACACACAACAAAGAGUCGGACGAAAGGUGAGUGCAGUUCGCCGAUCUUAAUCUUCAUUUAUCCUAACCCCCUUUUUUCCCUCUGCUAUCCCCUGCUUGCUCUCUCCAUUCUUUCCAUCCUUCUUUGCACUUACCUUUGUCUGUGUCCAGCGUAGUCUGUCUGGCUGAAUGCGGGUGUCAUGGAGAGGGAGCAAAUGUUCUGCCGUUUGGGGAAGGCAUUGUCAAAGCCACGGCUAUCUAUUGUGUCUGUGUGGCUGACUCUCCCUCUCUCCUCUCUCUCUCCCUCCGCUCUCCCAAUCCUGGGCCUCUCUCAGCUCUGGAGCGAGGGAUUGACAGAGAGAGAAAAGAAGAAGAGAAGCGUGGCGGCGAUUUGGCAGCUGCCCGGUGCCCAGCUGCAUUGGAAAAAUCCUGCCGCCUUUUCCUUUGCGGUGGUUCCCUCCCGGAGUGGUUUGUUUGGGGGACUGGUGUCCUGGGUGGGUGUCUAGCUACGCUCCCCUGCGGCAGAGCUGGCUGCUGGGGCUGUGACUGUGGCUGUACCUCCUGGGGAGCUGAGGAAUGGAGGUCUGGUCACAGAACCAGAGACAGUAUCCAUAGAAGCCAAUGAGUGGAAGAGAGCAGCCUCACAUGAUGAUUUGCACCACUUCUGGACUACCCUGCCUGCCUGCCAGAGUAUUAUGAACUCGAAAUCUGCUGGAUCCUCUAAGGAUGUGACCCGCACUUCUAUAUAAAAGGAUUUUCCAUUGUGUCCUGUAGCCGUGUGUGUGCAUGUGUGUGCAUGUGUGUGCAUGUGUGUGCAUGUGUGUGCAUGUGUGUGCAUGUGUGUGCGUGCUCGAGUACUGUAAGUGUGUGUUACAGAGUGACGGUGAUGGAGGGUGAAACAGGGUGAGAGAGCGAAAGACAGACAGAGGGAGGCAUAUCUGUCCUAACUGUCCAUGAUCUGAUACUGACACAACCCGCUGAAACACAUCCCUGUAUGAAACAUUAGAACCACAUACAGUGUGUGGUAGGUACAGUGUUAGAACUCGCUACCAUUUAUACAGUACAGGAAAAAAAACAGAUAUAACUGUACGAUAAUCCUGACCAAGAACUUGCAUGAAACAUUAUAUUGAAGAAAAGCGAU